GCCACGUCGAUAAUCAAUGUCCCUCUCACUAUUCCUGUGUGGUAUUUACCUGUUGAGAGAAGGGAGUUUUCAUUUUGGAGUUAUAGAAGCAGGCAUCACAGGACCAGAUACAUCACUGUUGGACCAAAUUCUAGAUUCCUGUGGAACUGUCAGAACACCACCGUUUCUAUGUUGUGUAUAAACAUGCUGACAAUGGCAGAAUUGAAUAGGCUGUGGUGCACAAAGCAUAAAAUACUUACUCUCUAGCCCUUUAUAGGAAACGUUUGCUGAUGCUGAUCUUGAAUGUGACAAGAAACAGGCAGAGCAAAAUGUGCUUCUGCCAUAUAUCCUGUGAGCCGGCACAUUAUGGCCUAUUAAAAAUUUGGUUUUA